rnacentral:rRNA from 1 species
AACGAACGCUGGCGGCGCGCCUAAUACAUGCAAGUCGAGCGAGAAGACGUAGCAAUACGUUUGUAAAGCGGCGAACGGGUGAGGAAUACAUGGGUAACCUACCCUCGAGUGGGGAAUAACUAGCCGAAAGGUUAGCUAAUACCGCAUACGACUCUCGGUCUGCGGAUCGAGAGGGGAAGCGAUACCGUGGGUAUCGCGCUCAUGGAUGGGCUCAUGUCCUAUCAGCUUGUUGGUGAGGUAACGGCUCACCAAGGCUUCGACGGGUAGCUGGUCUGAGAGGACGAUCAGCCACACUGGCACUGCGACACGGGCCAGACUCCUACGGGAGGCAGCAGUAAGGAAUAUUGCGCAAUGGGCGAAAGCCUGACGCAGCGACGCCGCGUGAGGGAUGACGGCCUGUGU